AUGUCUUCGGUGACAAUCCAGUCUUCAGGGACAUUUUCCACAAAAUUCCAAGUGGAGAACAGUAAUUGCCCAUUGCUGCAGCAGGUCACAUUACCAAACAUUCCAGGGGAGUACAACAUAAAUGUGUCAGGGGAAGGAUGUGUAUACACUCAGACAGCUUUGAAAUACAAUGCGCUCUUGGAGAAGGAAGACUCUGGCUUCGCUCUUGAAGUGCAGACAAUACCUCAGACUUGUGAUGGUCCCGAAGCCCACAUGAGCUUCCAGAUUUCACUAGAAUUCAGCUUGAAAGAUCUGGCCCUGUGA
rnacentral:lncRNA from 1 species